rnacentral:lncRNA from 1 species
UUUAAAAAAAAUCCAAAGAAGUGGGAUAGACUUUUUAAAAAAUCCCAAGGAUUGGGAUAGACUUUUUAAAAAAAUCCCAAGGAUUGGGAUAGACUUUAUUCCCAACAUUGGGAUAGACUUUUUAAAAAAUCCCAACAUCGGGAUAGACUUUUUUAAAAAAAUCCCAAGAAGUGGGAUAGACUUUUUAAUCCCAAGGAUUGGGAUAGACUUUAUUCCCAUCAUUGGGAUAGACUUUUUCCCAACAUCGGGAUAGACUUUUUAAAAAAAAUCCCAAGAAGUGGGAUAGACUUUUUAAAAAAUCCUAAGGAUUGGGAUAGACUUUUUUCCUAACAUUGGGAUAGACUUUUUUAAAAAAAAUCCCAAGAAGUGGGAUAGACUUUUUAAAAAAUCCCAAGGAUUGGGAUAGACUUUUUUUUAAAAAAUCCCAAAAAGUGGGAUAGACUUUUUAAAAAAUCCCAAGGAUUGGG